rnacentral:rRNA from 1 species
CGAGCGCAACCCCUACUUGUUAGUUGCCAUCAUUCAGUUGGGCACUCUAGCGAGACUGCCGGUAUAAACCGGAGGAAGGUGGGGAUGACGUCAAAUCAUCACUGCCCCUUAUGACCUGGGCUACACACGUGCUACAAUGGUUGGUACAACGAGUUGCGAGUCGGUGACGGCGAGCUAAUCUCUUAAAGCCGAUCUCAGUUCGGAUUGUAGGCUGCAACUCGCCUGCAUGAAGCCGGAAUCGCUAGUAAUCGCGGAUCAGCAUGCCGCGGUGAAUUACCGGUUCCCGGGCCUU